UACGUAGGGGCCGAGCGUUGUCCGGAAUUACUGGGCGUAAAGCGCACGUAGGCGGUCAGGCAAGUCGGGUGUGAAAGCCCUGGGCUCAACCUGGGAAUUGCAUUCGAAACUAUCUGACUCGAGUAUGGGAGAGGGAAGCGGAAUUUCCGGUGUAGCGGUGAAAUGCGUAGAUAUCGGAAGGAACACCAGUGGCGAAGGCGGCUUCCUGGACUAAUACUGACGCUGAGGUGCGAAAGCGUGGGGAGCAAACAGG
rnacentral:rRNA from 1 species